AUUGAACGCUGGCGGCAUGCCUUACACAUGCAAGUCGAACGGUAACGGGCCUUCGGGUGCCGACGAGUGGCGAACGGGUGAGUAAUACAUCGGAACGUGCCCGAUCGUGGGGGAUAACGAGGCGAAAGCUUUGCUAAUACCGCAUACGAUUUACAGAUGAAAGCAGGGGACCGCAAGGCCUUGCGCGGACGGAGCGGCCGAUGGCAGAUUAGGUAGUUGGUGGGAUAAAAGCUUACCAAGCCGACGAUCUGUAGCUGGUCUGAGAGGAUGAUCAGCCACACUGGGACUGAGACACGGCCCAGACUCCUACGGGAGGCAGCAGUGGGGAAUUUUGGACAAUGGGCGCAAGCCUGAUCCAGCCAUGCCGCGUGCAGGAUGAAGGCCUUCGGGUUGUAAACUGCUUUUGUACGGAACGAAAAGCCUUCUUUUAAUACAGGAGGGUCAUGACGGUACCGUAAGAAUAAGCACCGGCUAACUACGUG
rnacentral:rRNA from 1 species